UUGCUUCUCUGCACAUGAAGGGUGAAAAAUGCAAAGGAGAUGGAAAUCAGCUUUGAUGGAGCUUAAAACCUCAGCUUCAAAUUAAUUUUGUUGGAUUUCCAAAGACAAAAGAGCUUCAGAGAGAUGUUUACCUAUCUUUGGUUAUGCAAAACAAACAUUGUGCACUGUUCAAAAUUAUUAUACUGUCCACAUUGUCUCUGUCAAUGAACUUAAAGGAAUAAGUGAUAAACAGAGACGUGGCAUUCAUUCAUUUG